AAUGUGAAGCUCAUAUACAAAGG
rnacentral:piRNA from 1 species